GCCUGUGUGGCAUAGUAGUUUGGGUGUUGGUCUAUGAUUCUGGAGACCAGAGGUUCAAUUCCUAGCUUGGCCA